rnacentral:rRNA from 1 species
UACGGAAGGCAGCAGUGGGGAAUAUUGCACAAUGGGCGCAAGCCUGAUGCAGCCAUGCCGCGUGUAUGAAGAAGGCCUUCGGGUUGUAAAGUACUUUCAGUCGUGAGGAAGGUGUUAAGGUUAAUAACCUUAGCAAUUGACGUUAGCGACAGAAGAAGCACCGGCUAACUCCGUGCCAGCAGCCGCGGUAAUACGGAGGGUGCGAGCGUUAAUCGGAAUUACUGGGCGUAAAGGGCACGCAGGCGGUUAAUUAAGUUGGAUGUGAGGUCCCCGGGCUUAACCUGGGAAUGGCAUUCAAGACUGGUUAGCUAGAGUCUUGUAGAGGGGGUAGAAUUCCAUGUGUAGCGGUGAAAUGCGUAGAGAUGUGGAGGAAUACCGGUGGCGAAGGCGGCCCCUGGACAAAGACUGACGCUCAUGUGCGAAAGCGUGGGGAGCAAAC